rnacentral:lncRNA from 1 species
GCAGUGGUGCAGGAGCCUUACUGGAAUUUGGGUCACGCACUGGGCACAUCGUUCAACCAUACAAUGCUGGAAAUCAGGUAACGAAGAGUGAUCCUGAUAGUAGAGCCAGUGUUUCUUGUUGAUCUGUGCCUUAUGAUCCAACCUAAACUGAAUAACACCUUGCAGUCUAAACUCCUGACCACCAGGUGUUUGUGUUUAUGUGCACAAGGAUUUCCAUUUUCUAUUUUAAUGAUCCAUACUUCCCAAUCAGGGAGAAAUUGAAUAAUGCCCGGAAAGCCUAAGUUCCGACCAAGCAUUUGUGUUUAUGUCUACAGAGCUUUCACUUUUUCUGUCCAGUCUUAUAUGCUGCUAUACAAUUGUAUAAAUCUCAUAUCGAACAAACGUAUGAUGAUAUCUAUACCGCUAUUAUAGCACACAUAUAACUUUCAAUAUCGACAAAAUCCUAGAGGCUCGUUAGGUUGUUACAAGAGACGGCGGUCGGAUGACAGUCAGCUAGUUCUACAACGGGGUCGACCCCAAAACAACACGGGAAAAGAAAACCUAUUAGAAAGUACUAGAUCCCAACUACAUUUGUACAGUCGUGGGAGUACGAGACCCACACCAACCUUGUCGCCAGCGGCUAGCCUGAGAUGAGAAGGGAGGGGCCAACAGUGGAACAGAGCAGCACGAUGUGGUUACUUCUUCUCCCUCCAGUUGCACUUGCAGCGUGAAAAUGAGAGGACGUCGCUUUCCGUGACUUGUUUCUCGAAUCUCCAGGCAGCAGAGAUAACCAGCUUGGACUUCACCUAUAUGUACAGCACAAUGACAUAGGCUUAUAACAUCGAAGCAAGAAAUGACAUGUACUCCAUUGACUACAAACAAAUGGUGGGGUACCUUUUAGUUCUCUUUCCUCGUAGGGAACCACAGCUAUCAAAAUGGGUAGCUGUGUUCACCAAAUUUGUAACACGUCUCUCCUGACCCAAAGAGUAGUUUGUGUCUCCUGCAAAGUUAACACAUAGUUAAACUGAUGCCCAGAUCACAGUCUGACAGGAGAUAAUUCUGGUUAAUACAUGGAAACAGUACCUAAGAUAGGAAUACAUCUAUUGGUCUGACAACUAGAUUGCAGGUGAUGAUGAGAUGGAAGAACUUAGUGAUGAGAAGCGGGGUAAUACCUAUUCUUACAUGACCGAUGCGGGAAAUCUUGUUCCAUUGAAAGCUCUCUUUCUUUUUCCAGCUUUCCGCCACCUCUGGAUCACAUUUUCUGAUAAUGAAAGAUUCCAGCGAAGAGGGCAGACCAGGAAACGGGAGGCGACAGGGAACUACAUCGAACUCCAGUCUCUUGAGAGAGGAAAACCGUUCAAGCCAUAACAUAAUCUCUGGCUUCAAUAUCUCUAGGGACUCGAGGUACCUAUUUUGUCUCAUCCAUUGUCGAGAUAUUGUGCCGCAGCCAACAGAGAUAAUCAAGUUUUUGGUGUUACACAAUCUACUCAGUGGCUCCAUAUGCAACAUGGAAGGGGUUUGGAUCCAGAGCGAGUAGACCUUCAAGGAGAUCUCAACCAAUGAAUGUCCAUUCAUUUCACCUGAUUGUGCUGCCACCAGAAGUUGGCGACAGUCUGUAAUUUCUAGCCAACUGAGAUAUGAAAGAGCUCCAAGCCCACCCAACGAUGACAAGAAAAUGCAGUUUGUGAUAACCAUCUCUCGCAGUGCUGUGAGACUCCGGAACACCUCUGAUGAUGGAAGAGACUUCACCCUGGAGCAGUUGCACAAACUCGGUGAGGUAAGAUUGGUCAGACCAACCAGUGAAUCCAGCAGAGGAAGUUGGAGGUCACCACACUGCACCAUAGAGAGUUCCUUAAGCGUGCAAGGGAGUAGUCCACCAUCAACCUUCUGCAUCAUUCUCAAUGAGUAACAGCACCCAAUACGAAAUUCUGUAAGAUCAUUCAUGCUCCCAAAUGAUAAAGGAGCAUGGAUUAGUUUUUUACAGUCAACAAUCUUUAGGAUCCGAAGAGUGCAGAUAUAGUGUUCGCGCAUUAGAAAGCUCUCUGCCAACGUAGUCAAAUUUGAACAAUUGCUGAUAAUGACUGAUACUAGCUUGGGUGGCAUGGCCUCAGAACCAACGUUAUCAUGGUGGGCAACAAUUCCCGGGAGGAUCUCCAAUCCAACAUUACUUAUUUCCAAUAUUUUAAAUAGCACGCUAUUUCACCGUUAUAACGCGGUUAUAGCAUAUUUGAAAGGGAGACGUUACGUUUUGGCAAAAUCGGACGCUACGGCGCUAAUCACGUAAUUAGCACGCUACACACGCUAUAAUGUUGUAACGUUGUAACGUUACAACGUGCAGACCAUGCAAAACUGAAAUAAGCACAGCCCAGCAAGCCCAGCAGGCCAAAACCAACCCACGACCACUAGCUUUCUCACUCCUUUUAUCAGAUUCUCCCACGAGACCUAACCGGCUAACCCUAGUUCUCACUUCUCAUCCCUUUCUCACUCCUUUUUAUUUGCUGGAUUUGGCCCUUAUGCAUAUAUUGCUUGCUCCUAUGAAAAAUUUAGUUGCUUAAAUACUUUAUUUCUAGAUAUAUUUGAUUUUUUUUGCAAACGCUAUUUUAAAAUAUAGCACGCUAUUAGCGCGCUAUAACUUGUGUAGCAUUUAGAGAAGGGCCUCGCUAUAUUUUGUAGCGCGUUAUUUAAAAUAUUGCUUAUUUCUAGCUGCAUCAAAGUCAGAGGUAGAAGUGGUAGUUUCCUUAAUCCCUGGCAUCCUUCCACCACUAGGGUUUUCAGAUUUUGAGGAAAGGAAUCAGCAGAUGAUUGCCCAAUCUGUUUCAAUCCAGUAAGGUUUUGCAACUCGAGAUGCUUGAGUAACUGUAGAUUUCCAAGAGACGGGAGGUACACCCAAUUUUUGCACUGUCUCAGCUCAAGUGACACCAUAUUGACCAGAGGGGGAUCAUUUAUCCAAGAUGGGAAUCGGACACCACUAUAUCCUGCAAUUUCAAGAUUUUCAAGACGAGCAUGUGCCUCAAGUUUAUCAAGAACCAGGCUGUCUUCGAUUGGAACAUCAUUAGUUUCAGACCAGUUAAGUGAAAGUGACCCAAGAUAGGAUUUCUCAUUUAGCUUGGCCUCAAUAACCUCCUCCGACGCGACGGCGCCCAGCCGCCGGCGCGCCCGCUCAUCGCCUCGCCCCGCUCCAUCCUUCCCCUACAACCUACGCAGCAGGUCCGGUAGGAUCCCUGGUUCUACCAUUCCUACUCCAUGAGCCCCUCGUAUGCCCACUGUUCUUUCAGCCUCUACUCAGACUUGUGUUGCCAAAUACUCCCUCUAACCGGAAUUACUUGUUGCAGAAAUUGAUGUAUCUAGACGUAUUUUAAGUUCUAGAUACAUCCAUCUCUAUCCAUUUGUGCGAAGAGUAAUUCGGGAUGGAGAGUGCAUCUCAUAUUUAAAGUUGAAAGGGUACUAACCACAAUACAAACUACCUAUCGUUGUUCUUUGUUUGAGAUGUUGGUUCUGUCUGAUAAUGUUGGUUCUUUGGAGCUUUUGGGACGAUUUCCACCGCUGUGAAGCUAAUGAUUACUGUUUGGGUCAUACAGAAAUUAUGAGAAUACCUGCAUCAGCUUUGCCUGAAUGAAAGCUACAAAGUUUCUUUGACUGACGAUGUUAUUACUUGCUCCGCAGGUUUCGUUUUGGUGGCUGGAGAUGGAGAAACGGGCCGCUGAUGACCAUGCUGCGAAUUUUCUGUUCACUGAUAAACAUUCUGGCAUGAAAGUUGAAGGCACACUGGGUUGCUUCCAUAAAUCAGUACUUACAAUGCGUUGUUCUCGCUUGUCAAUUGAUCUUGUUUGCAAUUCAGUGCGAGCGCAUCUGCUGGUGUGUUUGAUUACCUUCCAUGUUGUGUCAAGCAUGGAGUUUCCGAUGUUAUAUUUAUGCAUAUCUAUGCUUAUGCUGAGAUGUUAUAUUUAUUCAUAGAGAGAUAUAGAUAUCUACAUUUGAAUGUUGGGGUCGUGAAAAGCUUGCUUGGACCAUCUAAGAGUGAAAUAUAUAGCUCAGUAGGUACUAAAAAAAA